rnacentral:sRNA from 1 species
GCCGGGUGAGGUGGCGCACACCUGAAUCCCAGUGACAACGGGAGGCUGAGGCAGGAGGAUAGCAAGUUCCAAGGACUUCCUCAGAAAUUUAGCAAGGCCCUGUCUCAA